rnacentral:rRNA from 1 species
AUACGUAGGGGGCGAGCGUUGUCCGGAAUGAUUGGGCGUAAAGGGCGCGUAGGCGGCGCGGUAAGUCUGGAGUGAAAGUCCUGCUUUCAAGGUGGGAAUUGCUUUGGAUACUGCCGCGCUUGAGUGCAGGAGAGGUUAUCGGAAUUCCCGGUGUAGCGGUGAAAUGCGUAGAGAUCGGGAGGAACACCAGUGGCGAAGGCGGGUAACUGGACUGCAACUGACGCUGAGGCGCGAAAGUGUGGGGAGCAAACAGGAUUAGAUACCCUGGUAGUCCACGCUGUAAACGAUGAAUGCUAGGUGUAAGAGGUAUCGACCCCUGUUGUGCCGGAGUCAACACAAUAAGCAUUCCGCCUGGGGAGUACGGCCGCAAGGUUCAAACUCAAAUGAAUUGACGGG